rnacentral:rRNA from 1 species
CCUACGGGUGGCAGCAGUGAGGAAUAUUGGUCAAUGGCCGGAAGGCUGAACCAGCCAUGCCGCGUGAAGGUCAGUGCCCUAUGGGCGUUAAACUUCUCUUGUGCGGGAGCAAUAAUGGUCACGUGUGGCCAGACGAGAGUACCGUACGAAUAAGCAUCGGCUAACUCCGUGCCAGCAGCCGCGGUAAUACGGGGGAUGCAAGCGUUAUCCGGAUUUAUUGGGUUUAAAGGGUGCGUAGGCUGUGAGGUAAGUCAGCGGUGAAAUGCCCCCGCUCAACGGGGUGAAGUGCCAUUGAUACUGCCUUGCUGGAGUGCAGGAGAGGCAGGCGGAAUUCCUGGUGUAGCGGUGAAAUGCGUAGAUAUCAGGAGGAACACCGGUGGCGAAGGCGGCCUGCUGGACUGCAACUGACGUUGAGGCCCGAAAGCGUGGGGAGCAAACAGGAUUAGAUACCCCUGUAGUC